AUAGAAUAGAGAAGAUUCGUUGGUUGGGCGGCGGGAGGUAUAAAAAUAAUAGGAGGAGUAAUUUUUUUCUCCUCCUCCGGACCAACCCCCCCCAACAACCCCCUCACUCUUUUUCUAUAAUGUUUCCUCUCACUAAAACACGCCACUAAUUUAAAACUUUCAACAACAGAAUCCCUUGCCUCUCUCAUCGCUCUCCACCGCUGCAAAGUGCCAGAAAAAGUGGGACUCUCCAAAAAUCACCCAAAUCUUCUUCCCCUUGCACCUCACCCUCCCCCCCCCCUUAUUCUAUCCGCCUAUCCUGUUCCAGCGUCUUUGGGCACCGGACACGCCCCCAGGGCUGCCAAUUUUUAACGGCCCACUCCACAAGCCAAAAAUGCUCCCACCCCCUCUUCUAAACAUCCUGCUGAACGAGCACCACCGUCAUCGCGUAUAAGCACGCCCACCGAUAUUCCUCCGCACACCUCGGCCACAGUUGAAAAAAUCAUUUUCUAUCUGGUUCUUUAGCUCAAGUAUUGGUAUAAAAAACACGCGUCAAAAAAAUAACAUAUAUAUAAAAUCUUAACGAUAAACAAAAUAAAUAUAUAACAAUUAAUC
rnacentral:rRNA from 1 species